GUUUCCCACAAGAGGCAAUAAAAACUAAUUGGGAGGUUAGUUGAAGUCACACUUAUGCAUUAAGGUGGUCCGGUGUUCGGUAGUUUGUGUUCGUAUGGUGAAUGAAGUAUGUGGCGGAACAGACCUCGCCCCGUGUUCUUGGAGGGGGCUGCUUGCCUGCCUCCUACCUUCUGACUAUGGCCCUGGGAUAUAUGGCAUUUGAAAACACUAAUUAUGCCCUGUUACAAAACUGGAGAUUGUGCAC